rnacentral:rRNA from 1 species
GCUUGCGCCUGAUGGACGUCGACCGGCGCACGGGUGAGUAACGCGUAUCCAACCUGCCCCACACUAAGGGACAACCCGCAGAAAUGUGGGCUAAUACCUUAUAUUUUCCACCAAGGGCAUCGUCGAUGGAACAAAGAUUUAUCGGUAUGGGAUGGGGAUGCGUCCGAUUAGGUUGUUGGCGGGGUAACGGCCCACCAAGCCAUCGAUCGGUAGGGGUUCUGAGAGGAAGGUCCCCCACAUAGGAACUGAGACACGGUCCUAACUCCUACGGGAGGCAGCAGUGAGGAAUAUUGGUCAAUGGGCGGGAGCCUGAACCAGCCAAGUAGCGUGCAGGAAGACGGCCCUAUGGGUUGUAAACUGCUUUUAUGCGGGGAUAAAGGAGUCCACGUGUGGGCUUUUGCAGGUACCGCAUGAAUAAGGACCGGCUAAUUCCGUGCCAGCAGCCGCGGUAAUACGGAAGGUCCGGGCGUUAUCCGGAUUUAUUGGGUUUAAAGGGAGCGUAGGCCGCGUUUUAAGCGUGUUGUGAAAUGUAGGCGCCCAACGUCUGCAUCGCAGCGCGAACUGGAACGCUUGAGUACGCGCAACGUUGGCGGAAUUCGUCGUGUAGCGGUGAAAUGCUUAGAUAUGACGAAGAACUCCGAUUGCGAAGGCAGCUGACGGGAGCGGCACUGACGCUUAAGCUCGAAGGUGCGGGUAUCAAACAGGAUUAGAUACCCUGGUAGUCCGCACGGUAAACGAUGGAUGCUCGCU